CGUUAGCUCAGUGGUAGAGCACCCGCCUUUUAAGCGGGGUGUCGUGGGUUCGAUCCCCUCACGGC
rnacentral:tRNA from 1 species